UACGGGGGGGGCAAGCGUUGUUCGGAAUUACUGGGCGUAAAGGGCUCGUAGGCGGCCAACUAAGUCAGACGUGAAAUCCCCCGGCUUAACCAAGGAACUGCGUCUGAUACUGGAUGGCUUGAGUUUGGGAGAGGGAUGCGGAAUUCCAGGUGUAGCGGUGAAAUGCGUAGAUAUCUGGAGGAACACCGGUGGCGAAGGCGACAUCCUGGACCAACACUGACGCUGAGUGAGCGAAAGCCAGGGGAGCAAACGGG
rnacentral:rRNA from 1 species